rnacentral:rRNA from 1 species
GACGAACGCUGGCGGCGUGCUUAACACAUGCAAGUCGAGCGAGGCCCCUCCUUCGGGAGGGUGUCCUAGCGGCGAACGGGUGAGUAACACGUGGGCAACCUGCCCUCAGCUCUGGGAUAACUCCGGGAAACCGGGGCUAAUACCGGAUACGACCUCCACGGGCAUCUGUGGAGGUGGAAAGUUUUUCGGCUGAGGAUGGGCCCGCGGCCUAUCAGCUAGUUGGUGGGGUAGUGGCCCACCAAGGCGACGACGGGUAGCCGGCCUGAGAGGGCGACCGGCCACACUGGGACUGAGACACGGCCCAGACUCCUACGGGAGGCAGCAGUGGGGAAUAUUGCGCAAUGGGCGAAAGCCUGACGCAGCGACGCCGCGUGAGGGACGAAGGCCUUCGGGUUGUAAACCUCUUUCAGCAGGGACGAAGCGAAAGUGACGGUACCUGCAGAAGAAGCACCGGCCAACUACGUG